rnacentral:pre_miRNA from 1 species
UGUGUGUGUGUGUGUGUGUGUGUGAAUGAGCAUAUGUGUUUGUUUGUAGUGGGUUCAUGUACACAUACACACACACACACACACACACACACA